rnacentral:rRNA from 1 species
UACGGGGGGGUAAGCGUUGUUCGGAAUUACUGGGCGUAAAGGGCUCGUAGGCGGCCAACUAAGUCAGACGUGAAAUCCCUCAGCUUAACUGGGGAACUGCGUCUGAUACUGGAUGGCUUGGAUUCGGGAGAGGAAUGCGGAAUUCCAGGUGUAGCGGUGAAAUGCGUAGAUAUCUGGAGGAACACCGGUGGCGAAGGCGGCAUUCUGGACCGACAUUGACGCUGAGGAGCGAAAGCCAGGGAGCAAACGGG